GCUUGUCUCAAAGAUUAAGCCAUGCAUGUCUAAGUACAAGCCUCAGUAAGGUGAAACCGCGAAUGGCUCAUUAAAUCACACCUAAUCUACUGGAAAGUUACUAGUUACUUGGAUAACCGUGGUAAUUCUAGAGCUAAUACAUGCUGUUAAGCCUGACUUACGAAGGGCUGUAUUUAUUAGAUAACAGACCAAUAUUCCCUCGUGUCUAUUGUGGUGAAUCAUAGUAACUGAUCGGAUCGCAUGGGCGUGCCCGCGACAAACCAUUCAAGUUUCUGCCCCAUCAGCUUUCGAUGGUAGUGUAUUGGACUACCAUGGCUUUUACGGGUAACGGAGGAUUAGGGUUCGAUUCCGGAGAGGGAGCCUGAGAAACGGCUACCACAUCUAAGGAAGGCAGCAGG
rnacentral:rRNA from 1 species